rnacentral:sRNA from 1 species
UUUUAUAUUCAAUCAUACAUAUGACAUUUAAUCAUAUUUCACUUCAAAACGCUAACCAAGAUUCUUCUUGCUUCUCUAAGUAUCAUAGUAUAUUUGAUCCAAAACACUAAACCUAAACUCUACACCCUAAAUCCAAAAACCUAAAAUCUAACCCCUUAACCCUAACCCCUGAACCCUAAAUCCUAAACCCGGAACCGUAAACCCUAAACCAUAAACUCUGAACCCUAAACCCUUAAACCUAAACCCUAAACCAUAAAUCCCAAACUUUAAAACCUAAAUCCUACUUUAGGCUUCCGGAAACCGGUUGCGGUUCUAGUUCUUAUGCUCAAUGAUACACAAAGCAUCUAGUCAUAUUUGACUACAAAUCCGCUACCAAAGCAUCUUCUUGAUUCCUAAAGCUUUGAUGGUUGAUAAGUGUGUAUUUUGCAUGUUUUGAGCAUCCAUUUGUCAUCAUUUUAGAAUCAUAUCAUCACUGUUUUAUACCAUUUCACAACAUUUAUCAUCACUUUGCAUGUUUAGGAUAGUUUUGCAUGCAUGUUGCAUAUUUGCGUUGAUUUCAGGUGAUUUGGAGCUGUUGACGUGCUAUCUGGAAGAAGCGGACCUGAUCAUGACAAACCACUCGACCCAGAGGUCGAGCAGGAGCUUCAAGAUCUCAAGAGACCACUCGACCACCAGGUCGAGUAGAGGACAUCACCACUUUACCUCACCACUCGCCCCGAGGUCGAGUGCCAUCAUCUCCAUCACCAGACCGUCACUCGAUCACUUCACUCGACCACGAGGGCGAGUGCCAUCAUCUCCAUCACCAGACCGUCACUCGAUCACUUCACUCGACCACGAGGUCGAGUGCCUUCACCUCUAUCAUCAGACAACCACUCGACCUCCUCACUCUACCCAGAGGUCGAGUAUCUCCAUCACACCACUCGACAGCAUACUCGAUGACAAGCUUCAGAGCCUUCUUCAUUCCGCACUCAACCAGACAUUCGAGCACAAGGAAGAAAAGAAGACUCCAGCUAUUCACUCGAGCUCUCACUCGACCACGUGGGUCGAGUACAGUUCUUAACCCGUCCAAAUACUUCGUCGUUUUGAGUAUUAGGGUUUCGGGAUAUUUGGCUAUAAGUAGCAUGUACUUCUCAUUUUCGCAAACAAGUUGGGU